UACGGAGGGGGCUAGCGUUGUUCGGAAUUACUGGUCGUAAAGGGCACGUAGGCGGACUGGAAAGUCAGGGGUGAAAUCCCGGGGUUCAACCCCGGAACUGCCUUUGAAACUCCCGGUCUUGAGGUCGAGAGAGGUGAGUGGAAUUCCGAGUGUAGAGGUGAAAUUCGUAGAUAUCCGGAGGAACACCAGUGGCGAAGGCGGCUCACUGCCUCGAUACUGACGCUGUGGUGCGAAAGCGUGGGGAGCAAACAGG
rnacentral:rRNA from 1 species